rnacentral:rRNA from 1 species
GUGGGGAAUAUUGCACAAUGGGGGGAACCCUGAUGCAGCGACGCCGCGUGGGUGAAGAAGUAUUUCGGUAUGUAAAGCCCUAUCAGCAGGGAAGAAAAAGACGGUACCUGACUAAGAAGCCCCGGCUAACUACGUGCCAGCAGCCGCGGUAAUACGUAGGGGGCAAGCGUUAUCCGGAUUUACUGGGUGUAAAGGGAGCGUAGACGGCAGUGCAAGCCUGGAGUGAAAGGAUGGGGCCCAACCCCAUGACUGCUCUGGGAACUGUGCAGCUGGAGUGCCGGAGGGGUAAGCGGAAUUCCUAGUGUAGCGGUGAAAUGCGUAGAUAUUAGGAGGAACACCAGUGGCGAAGGCGGCUUACUGGACGGCAACUGACGUUGAGGCUCGAAAGCGUGGGGAGCAAACAGGA